AAGGCUGGUCUCGAACUCAGAGACCUGCUUGUCUCUGCCUCCCCAGUGCUGGGCUUAAAGGUAUGAGCCACCACUGGCAGGCUUACUUUUUAAGGCACUUCAUUUAAGGUAAUUCUUUGCCUAACAAUUCAUAGUCAAUACAGUGAGUAUUGGUUUAGGAAACAGAUUAGUCAAGCCCUGGAGAACGAAGUUAGAAAGGACAGGAAACUAUUAGCCUCUGAGGUCUGAAGGAGCCUGGAGAGAAGAGCUCUGGGAUCUAUCGACCGCAGCAAAAAGAAGCGGCCUGACCGUGGCCUUUGGUAGAGGAAGGUGGUGUGCCAGGAAACGGGGAGCCGGGCAAACAAACACCCCAUCUCGGUUUCUUCUCACCUUCAACCUGGCCAAAGUUGCCGCCUCUGCUGGCCAAGCACACGGUGCAGGCACACAUCUCAGAACAGAUCCCAAGUGUCGAAAGUGAAGACAUAACUGUUCCAAGCAUUAAGAUCCUGCAAACACCACCUCCAGGACGGCAGAGUCAGUGUAGGCAGGAGGAAGAUUCGACCAGUGUCUCUGGUUUCGACUUGACGUGAGGUAUGAUGGGGGAGAGGUCCUUCUGCUUGACCGUUUUCUGAGUGAUCAGCUCAGAUCUGUAAAGGCUCUAGGUCAAGGCCACAAAAUGUGGACAAACAUUUCUUCAGCUGGGAAUUUGAAAAGAGGUUGAGGCUGGAAAGAGAUGGCUCAGCAGUAAAGAGUACAGACUCAAGGGUCCACUCCCAGCACCAACAUGGGAGGCUCACAACCAUCAGCCACUCCAGUUCCAGGGGACCCACCACUUUCUUCCGGUCUCUAUGGGCACUGUACACACAUGGUACCCAGACAUACAUGCAGCCCAAACACCUGCACACAUAACAUAGAAAUGAA
rnacentral:sRNA from 1 species